UCAGUCAUCUUCCAGUCUAAAGCUGCCGCUUGGUCCUGCCAUCCCAGAUUCCAUGUCACAAUGCAAGUCCGUACAAAGGGAAUCUCCUAGCACUAAGGAAGCUUUGACAGUUAAGCAACCAACGGGGGUAGUCUGCCGGCGAAAGGCUGGCCUGACACACGGCAACCUUUUGGUAUUAGUUGGAUAUGAUUCCUCUUUGGUAUACACCUUUUCUAUUUACCUCAAGUUUUUGACAGAGACACAGCCAUGCCAUCCCAUCCCAUCCAGAUUGACUUUUCUUCUUCAUAAAUGGCACCAUUUUGACAAAUGGUAGGAAAUCCUCUAGCAGCGUCAUUUCGUACAUACAGAUUAUAUGGUGAUAUAGCCCACACCGCCCACUCUAACAUAUGUACUACAACAUCAAAACACCUUCAAGUUUGGGCAUUGGAAGAAGGAUCUCUUUCUUUUCAAUUUGGUAAGGAAGCAGAGCAACUCCUACUUUGUGAUAUACCCAGCCAGCAGAAUACUUGGGAGGAAGCAGGAAGCCCAGCAACUUUUUCUCUUUCUUUUUUUCUCCUGUGUUUUAGUUUGUGGGCGAAAAUAAGAAAAGGUGACCUAAAAGGCUAGAAUUCUGCAUCAUUCACUACAUUUCAGCAAGUAUAGAGCAAUGCUCUGGACCAGGUUGCUACUAAGCUUACUCAAAAUUAACCAAAUGGUAAAUAUGAAGAUUACGAAACCAAAUUUACUUUUCAAAUUUCCUUGCAGAGCCGAAACAGAACAGUUACCCCAAAUUUAA